UGAGUAACGCGUAUCCAACCUUCCGUACACUCAGGGAUAGCCUUUCGAAAGAAAGAUUAAUACCUGAUGGUAUCUUAAGCACACAUGUAAUUAAGAUUAAAGAUUUAUCGGUGUACGAUGGGGAUGCGUUCCAUUAGGUAGUAGGCGGGGUAACGGCCCACCUAGCCAACGAUGGAUAGGGGUUCUGAGAGGAAGGUCCCCCACAUUGGAACUGAGACACGGUCCAAACUCCUACGGGAGGCAGCAGUGAGGAAUAUUGGUCAAUGGACGAGAGUCUGAACCAGCCAAGUAGCGUGAAGGAUGAAGGUCCUACGGAUUGUAAACUUCUUUUAUAAGGGAAUAAAACCUCCCACGUGUGGGAGCUUGUAUGUACCUUAUGAAUAAGCAUCGGCUAACUCCGUGCCAGCAGCCGCGGUAAUACGGAGGAUGCGAGCGUUAUCCGGAUUUAUUGGGUUUAAAGGGAGCGCAGACGGGUCGUUAAGUCAGCUGUGAAAGUUUGGGGCUCAACCUUAAAAUUG
rnacentral:rRNA from 1 species